GUACUGCUGAGGAGUCCCAUACUAGGACGAAACGGUCGUCCAGUGC
rfam:Schistosoma mattheei strain Denwood, Zambia genome assembly, scaffold: SMTD_scaffold0011532